CCUACGGGCGGCAGCAGUGAGGAAUAUUGGUCAAUGGGCGAGAGCCUGAACCAGCCAAGUCGCGUGAGGGAAGACGGUCCUACGGAUUGUAAACCUCUUUUGUCAGGGAGCAAAGAGCGCCACGAGUGGUGCGGCGAGAGUACCUGAAGAAAAAGCAUCGGCUAACUCCGUGCCAGCAGCCGCGGUAAUACGGAGGAUGCGAGCGGUAUUCGGAUUUAUUGGGUUUAAAGGGUGCGCAGGCGGAAGCGGCAAGUCAGCGGUAAAAUUUCGGGGCUCAACCCCGGCGAGCCGUUGAAACUGGUGUUCUAGAGUGGGCGAGAAGUAUGCGGAAUGCGUGGUGUAGCGGUGAAAUGCAUAGAUAUCACGCAGAACUCCGAUUGCGAAGGCAGCUUGCUGCAGCGGAACUGACGCUGAUGCUCGAAAGCGCGGGUAUCGAACAGGAUUAGAUACCCUAGUAGUC
rnacentral:rRNA from 1 species